GUUACUGAGGACAAAACAAAUGUACUAAUCUAAUGCUUUUAACAGUAAUAAAGUGGAAAAUCAUGUGAGAAACAUAUAUUAUAACAAUAUAUAGUAAGAUUUGAAAACUAAUUCUACAAGUCAANAAACAUAUAUUAACAAUAUAUAGUAAGAUUUGAAAACUAAUUCUACAAGUCAAACAGUUGGUUAAUACGCUUUUGAUUGUUAAAAGCAUGUGGAAUAUGAAACAUUUCAAAUGAAAUAAUAAGUUUGAGUACAAGAUAUACUUGUACUUUUGCUUGUAUUCCCCCUGAAAACAUUGAAAAACGCGGAAAAAGGUGUAGGGGUAUGAACUCACCAGACGAGGAAUGUAUCGGCUAGGAUGCUAAACAUCAGUUCGAGGCUUGAAAACGCGCGAGGUUCCUAUGUAAUAUGAAAUGAUACACAUGUGUAUCCAAUUAGGCUUUUUACUACUAAUUAGAAUGAAUAAACAUUCUGAGGCGCGAAAACACUUCAAUUCAAGUGUUUGGAGUGACCUGGGUGACAUCUAUGGACAUAUAU
rnacentral:lncRNA from 1 species